rnacentral:rRNA from 1 species
GAGCACGUAGGUGGGUUUGUAAGUCAGAUGUGAAAGCCUCCUGUUCAACGGGAGAAUUGCAUCUGAAACUACUGAUCUUGAGUAUAGGAGGGGAGAAUGGAACUUCUGGUGGAGCGGUGAAAUGCGUAGAUAUCAGAAGGAACGCCGGCGGCGAAAGCGAUUCUCUGGCCUAUUACUGACACUCAGUGUGCGAAAGCUAGGGGAGCAAACGGGAUUAGAUACCCCGGUAGUCCUAGCCGUAAACGAUGGGCACUAAGUAGAGGGAAUUACCGAUAUUCUCUCUGCCGUAGCUAACGCAUUAAGUGCCCCGCCUGGGGAGUACGGCCGCAAGGCUAAAACUCAAAAGAAUUGACGGGGGCUCGCACAAGCGGUGGAGCAUGUGGCUUAAUUCGAUGCAACGCGAAAAACCUUACCGGGGCUUGACAUGGUAGAAGUAGGAACCCGAAAGGGUAACGAACGGUAUCCAGUCCGUAACUAUUACAGGUGUUGCAUGGCUGUCGUCAGCUCGUGUCGUGAGACGUUGGGUUAAGUCCCCUAACGAGCGAAACCCUUGUUUUUAGUUGCCAGCGGGUUAUGCCGGGCACUCUAGAAAGACUGCCGUCGUCAAGACGGAGGAAGGUGGGGAUGACGUCAAGUCAUCAUGGCCCUUAUGCCCCGGGCUGCACACGUGCUACAAUGGUCGGUACAAACGGAAGCGAAGCCGAGAGGUGAAGCGAAUCC